rnacentral:rRNA from 1 species
AUUCCAAUCGAACUCGGAGAUAGCUGGUUCUCCCCGAAAUAGCUUUAGGGCUAGCCUCAUAUUAGAUACCCGGAGGUAAAGCACUGAAUGGCCUAGCGCCCGAGAGGGUAGCGAAGCCUAUCAAACUAAGAAUGCCGGAGUAUUGAUGUAUGGGAGUCAGACAGUGUGAGAUAAAUCUCAUUGUCAAAAGGGAAACAGCCCAGAUCUACAGCUAAGGUCCCAAAUUGUAUCUAAGUGGAAAACGAUGUGGAAAUACGCAGACAACCAGGAUGUUGGCUCAGAAGCAGCCACUCAUUUAAAGAGUGCGUAAUAGCUCACUGGUCGAGCGUCUCUGCGCGGAAAAUUUAACGGGGCUAAGAUACAAACCGAAGCUUAGGCUGCAUCGUAAGAUGCGGGGUAGGGGAGCGUUGUGUAAGCGGAGAAACAGUAGCGUAAGCGGCUGUGGAGUUUACAGAAGUGAGAAUGCCGGAAUGAGUAGCGCGAAUGAUGUGAGAAUCAUCAUGGCCGGAAACCUCAGGUUUUUGGAGGAAGGUUCGUCCGCUCCAAGUUAGGCGGGAGCUAAGGUCAGGCCGAAAGGCGUAGCCGAUGCACAGACGGUAGAGAUUCCGUCCCCACCGAAAGAUUUAAGCGCAGGGACACUUUUAGAAGGUCGGAGCCAGGUGUUGGUUCUGGUAGAGAUCGAGGGAAAUUUAGUACCGAAGUCCGGCUGGAUAAGAGGCGAGAAAAGCUGCGUGUAUAUCUAAGGUGCCCGUACCGCAAACCGACACAGGUAGGUAGGAAGAAGAUUCUAAGGCCAACGGGAGAAGGGUUGUUAAGGAACUCGGCAAGUUGACCCCGUAACUUCGGAAUAAGGGGUGCUCACGAGAGUGAGCCGCAGAGAAUAGGCCCAGGCAACUGUUUACCAAAAACACAGGUUUGUGCUAAAUCGAAAGAUGACGUAUACGAGCUGACGCCUGCCCGGUGCUGGAAGGUUAAAAGGAGAUGUGCAAGCAUUGAAUUGAAGCCCCAGUGAACGGCGGCCGUAACUAUAACGGUCCUAAGGUAGCGAAAUUCCUUGUCAGGUAAGUUCUGACCCGCAUGAAAGGCGUAAUGAU